CCUACGGGAGGCAGCAGUGAGGAAUAUUGGUCAAUGGGCGCGAGCCUGAACCAGCCAAGUCGCGUGAGGGAAGACGGCCCUACGGGUUGUAAACCUCUUUUGCCGGGGAGCAACGGGCGCCACGUGUGGCGCCACUGAGAGUACCCGGAGAAAAAGCAUCGGCUAACUCCGUGCCAGCAGCCGCGGUAAUACGGAGGAUGCGAGCGUUAUCCGGAUUUAUUGGGCGUAAGGCGUGCGUAGGCGGUUUGUUAAGUCCAGAAUUAAAGCCCGAGGCUUAACCUCGGUUCGUUCUGGAAACUGGCAGACUAGAGUAUGGUAGAGGCAAAUGGAAUUCCUAGUGUAGCGGUGAAAUGCGUAGAUAUUAGGAGGAACACCAGUGGCGAAGGCGAUUUGCUGGGCCAUCACUGACGCUGAGGUACGAAAGCGUGGGGAGCAAAUAGGAUUAGAUACCCUUGUAGUC
rnacentral:rRNA from 1 species